UACAGAGGGUGCGAGCGUUAAUCGGAAUUACUGGGCGUAAAGCGCGUGUAGGCGGCUUUGCAAGUCGAGUGUGAAAUCCCCAGGCUUAACCUGGGAACUGCAUUCGAGACUGCAUGGCUAGAGUAUGGGAGAGGGAAGUGGAAUUUCAGGUGUAGCGGUGAAACGCGUAGAUAUCUGAAGGAACAUCAGUGGCGAAAGCGACUUCCUGGACCAAUACUGACGCUCAUGUGCGAAAGCGUGGGGAGCAAACAGG
rnacentral:rRNA from 1 species